AAAAGUUGUAGCUCUUUUAGAAAUUGUCUAGCAGGCUUUCUGUCUAUUAUCAGAACUCCUCC
rfam:Ictidomys tridecemlineatus contig104861, whole genome shotgun sequence.